rnacentral:lncRNA from 1 species
ACAUAUAUAAGACUUUUUUAAGUCAUUAACCACCUCACAUAUCUCAUAAUCCCAAGACCUCAAGUCUAUAACCAGCUUUUUCCCAAAAUCUCCUCUAGACUCCAAGGAAGAAGAUGAACAAUGAAGCUAGGGGUGAAGAAUCAAGAUUUUUCCCCAAAUUCGUGGUUAAUCUUCUAUAAGGUAUGAUAUAUUUUCAUCUAUGGGUAUCCUUCACCCAUAGCGCCCUUCCAAAACCUUCAAUUUCGAAACUAGAAAAUUCAUAAGUUAGAAUUUGACUUCAAUCUCAUGGAAUCUUUUCAAAUUCGUUUUAAAUGAUUGAAUUAUGUUUGUUUAUAUAUAUAUAUAUAUAUAUAUAUAUAUAUAUAUAUUAAUGAUUUUAUAUGAUUUUAAGUUGGAUUAUUCAAGAAUUCAUGAAUUAUACUAUUUUUCCAAAUCAGAUCUUAAAGUGUAGGUAUUGAUUGAUGAAUGUAGAUUACUACAGAAUUAUGAAUGUUAUGAGUUGAUUACUUGAAUAAUGUUAUUAUCCAUGCCUAAUGUAGUAGUUCUACGUGCGUUGAUUGAAUUUGAUCCAUUGGUCCUUGAAAGUCAAACUAUGAGAAUUUUGUAUAAUCAUGAUGCUUAUGUACAUGCUUUGUGAAUACCUAGGAGGAAUGUGAUUAUGACUAUAAUGUAAUUGUGAUGAUGUGGAAGGAUUUCCUCACCUAAAUGAACCGGUAGGUCAAUGACAUCCUUUUCACGUGUGAAUAAAAGUGAUCUUGAUUGAUAUAUCUUGAAUCGGUAGGCUAAGGGCAUCCCUUUCUUGUGUAGCUAAAAGUUAUCUCGACUUAAUGAACCUUGAAUCGGUAGGCAAUGUCAUCCUUUUUAUAAAUGACUAAUGAAUCAUUUUAAGGAUUUGUAUUGGAUCGGUAGAUCAAUGGUAUCCCUUUGAUUAUGAGUCAAUGAACUAUUAUAAUGAUAAAUCUUGAAUCGGUAGACCAAUGGUAUCAUUUUAAUGAGGAUUCAAUGAGUUAUUUUAAUGAUGUACCUUGAAUCAGUAGACUUAUGACAUUCCUUUUAUGUGUAAUGAUGUACCUUGAACCGUUAGACAAAUGACAUCCCUUUUCAUGUGUAAUAAUGUUAAAAGAGAAUUUACGACUCCAUAGAAAUUUAAUGCUUAGCACCGAGUAGAUAUUGUGAGGUGAAAGCUCUUUCUAUGUAAGGUCGAGUUUCUAGUGACAAUAGUCUUAUCCCAUAACUAUGUGCCCACAUAGAUUAUUAGCUAGUGGAUUCACCUAAGCUAAAAUGUUAUCAGCUCUACCUUAGGCAAGUGAACCAACUAUUUCCUGUGCGGACCAUACCGAAUUCCAUGAUUUACUCACAUGGUCUAUAUUGGUUAGAGAUUCUUCCAUCAUGAACAAAAAUGUGAGUUAUGCACUAUGGUUACUCAAGAAGCUCUAUGAAGUGUGGGUGGGGGUAUGAGACUUCAUCCAUGCAUUGUAUAAGUAGGCUUUGAGAAUAGUUAUGAUGUGUUCCUCAAAUGUUAUAAUGUCUUGUGAAAUGAAUACGCUUAUAAUGAUGUUAUCGAGAAUGUGGAUAUGAGAGCUAAUGUAAACAUGAGUGCUUAACUUAGAUUGUUGUUAUGAGUUGCUUUUCUUGAUAUGACCUAUUAAAUGUGAAUGUUUCUUUGUCUAAUGAGUAUUAACUAAAAAUGAGAAUAAAGAAUGAUAAGUAUGAUUAUGGUGGACUCAAAGUGGUACUUAGUGUAGAUGGAAUUAUGAGAUUUUUAUUUAUACAUUACAUAAAUAUAACUUAGGAUUACUUAUGAAAUGAUUCUAUUAUGCUAUGAUGGUUUAUAUAUUGAAUAUGCUUGUGGCUUAUGCCUUCAUACUAAAAGUACAUGAUGAUUUUCAAACUUGGUAGAUCAUGAUUUUCAGCUAAAUAUCCGUUUUAACUUGUUUUCAAAGAUUUUUAUGCAUGGCUAUCAUACUUAGUGCAUGUUUUUACUAACUCAUAUUUUCUACAUUUUUCUUUAAGUGUAGGUUUAAGUUCUUAAGGUGAUCUUCUAUUGGUUCAAGCUUAGAUUGACUAUUCUCCUAACUUGUGGUGAGUCAUCAAGAUUCGAGAAAUCAUUAGUAGUUUCUUUCUAGUUAUUUUAUGGUUUGAAUUAUGUGAAAGGAUUGUGCCUCUAUUUUUUGUUCAAGGAUUGUAUUAGAUGGCUAUUUGAGACAAGUUAGACUUUCGCUUUCUCUUAUAAAAGACUUCGAUUUUAUGGAUAAAGUUUUAAAUUUUGCAUCAUUUCUUAUAUCUUAUGGUGUAGUAUGCUAAGGGCUUGUAUGAGACUCCUUCGAGUUCAAGUAAGUUAUGUUACAUCUAAGGUGUACCUCUGGGUCGUGACAUAUUAAUUGUUCAGCUUACGAAAUACUAUCGUAAUGUGAAAAUUCAAAACUUAUUAAUGUAAAAAAUGAAAUUCCACUAGAUUCUAUUAAAUAUCAUUUUUCAAAACCUAAAAGUCAUCACACUAAGGAAAUUUAAUCCAAAAGUACCAAGUCUAAUAGACAAGAGUAUUAGAAACACCAUAAUAGAUAAAUAAAAUAGUUUGUGUUCGAAAACUAGGGACAUCAUGUCAUGACCAAGAAAAUUCAACACGAGCUAAAAUGACUAUUCACCCUAGAACCCGAUAUGUUGGAGACUGGAUAGAGCUAAGGGCGAGUAGAAGUUGUUAAUACGCUUAUUGCACUCCACAAAGGCAAACAAAAAAAUACAAGUGUUACUACAGGUGAUAUCAUCGACCGACUCAAAUAGAAACCAAUAUGCGUAAAGUAAUAGUAUGAAAUCAACUAUAACACUUAGCAGGUGACAAACAACAUGAACAAGUGACAACAGUAUUAUAACAAGUAUGUAAUAGUCACAAUAUUAAAAACACACUUGAGGACUCAUGCAUC